rnacentral:rRNA from 1 species
UACAGAGGUCUCAAGCGUUGUUCGGAUUCAUUGGGCGUAAAGGGUGCGUAGGCGGCGCUGUAAGUCGGGUGUGAAAUUUCGGAGCUUAACUCCGAAACUGCAUUCGAUACUGCGGUGCUUGGGGACUGGAGAGGAGACUGGAAUUCAUGGUGUAGCAGUGAAAUGCGUAGAGAUCAGGAGGAACACCAAUGGCGAAGGCAGAUCUCUGGGCCGUAACUGACGCUGAGGAGCGAAAGCAUGGGGAGCGAACAGG